GGCAGGAUGGAGGUGGGUGACCCCAAAUCAUGUCCCCUCCCCACACCAUAAGGUUGAGCCAGCCCUGCCCCACAUCUGCCGCAGGAUGUCCCUUGGUGCUCAAGAUGCUACAGAGCCACAUCAGGAUGUCCCUUCUUCAUUGAGAUGCCUCAGCUCCAAGUAGGAUGUCCCUUGGCCCCACAGACCCAUAGUAGGACCUCCCUUAUCCCCACAAUGGGACUUCUUUUGCCCCAUAGAUGCCCCAGACCUUUCCCUCAGUGGAACAUCCCUGUGGGGCUGAGACAUCCCCAAGACCAGAUGGGGGACUCACCGACUCCCUUCUUCUUCGGGUCCAGCUCGAUUAUCUUCACUGUCUUCUCCACUCUCAUCCCUUCGGGCUGCAGAGGUGAGAGUCCAGUGCUAAAGGUUGGGUUGGGUUUGGGUCCCUCUUUGUCAUCUCCAGGAGAUUCCAAUGUUAAAAGUUGGGUUUAGGUUCCCCUUUCCCAUGUCCAAGAGAUUCCAAUGCUCAAGGUUGGGGUUGGGUCCCCCUUUCCCAUCUCCAGGAGAUCCCAAUGCUAAAGGUUGGGUUGGGUUUGAGUCCCCUUUCCCAUCUCCAGAAGACCCCAAUGCUAAAGGUUGGGUUUGGGUCCCCCUUUCCCAUCUCCAGGAGAUCCCAAUGCUAAAGGUUGGGUUGGGUUUGGGUCCCCCUUUCCCAUCUCCAGGAGAUCCCAAUGCUAAAGGUUGGGUUGGGUUUGGAUCCUUCUUCCCAACCUCUCCCUGUUGCCCCAGUAGAAACCAGCAGCCUUAUCUCAUGCUCCAAACUAGAAAAGCCCCACUUGAGCAUCCUUGGUGGGCAGCAUCCUUCAUCCCUGGGUACCAGCCCCAUGGGGACACAGGGCUCUGUGCUGGGAGCAUCUCAGUGACGGUGACAGCACCAUGGGGAGGCC